rnacentral:rRNA from 1 species
UACGUAGGGUGCAAGCGUUGUCCGGAAUUAUUGGGCGUAAAGAGCUCGUAGGCGGUCUGUCGCGUCGGCUGUGAAAUCCCGAGGCUCAACCUCGGGUCUGCAGUCGAUACGGGCAAACUAGAGUAUUGCAGGGGAGACUGGAAUUCCUGGUGUAGCGGUGAAAUGCGCAGAUAUCAGGAGGAACACCGGUGGCGAAGGCGGGUCUCUGGGCAAUAACUGACGCUGAGGAGCGAAAGCGUGAGGAGCAAACAGG